ACCCGCAGCCCGAGUGGUGGUCGCUAUUAUUGGGCCUAAAACGUCCGUAGCCGGCCCGGUAAAUUCGUGGGGAAAUCGGUCAGCUUAACUGACCGAAGUCCGCGGAGACUGCCGGGCUUGGGACUGGGUGAGGUCAGAGGUACUUCAGGGGUAGGGGUAAAAUCCUGUAAUCCUUGAAGGACCACCAGUGGCGGAGGCGUCUGACUAGAACGGAUCCGACGGUAAGGGACGAAGCCCUGGGGCACAAACGGGAUUAGAUACCCCGGUAGUCCAGGGUGUAAACGCUGUGGGCUUGGUGUUGGGGGUCCCACGAGGGCGCCCAGUGCCGGAGAGAAGUUGUUAAGCCUACUGCCUGGGGAGUACGCUCGCAAGAGUGAAACUUAAAGGAAUUGGCGGGGGAGCACCGCAACGGGUGGAGCGUGCGGUUUAAUUGGAUUCAGCGCCGGAAAACUCACCGGGAGCGACGGUUAUAUGAAGACCAGGUUGAAGGCCUUGUCUGAUUUUCCGAGAGGUGGUGCAUGGCCGUCGUCAGUUCGUACCGUAAGGCGUUCUCUCAAGUGAGAUAACGAACAAGAUCCCUGCCUCUAAUUGCCACCCUUCCCUCCGGGGGAGGAGCACAUUAGAGGGACCGCUGGUGCUAAACCAGAGGAAGGUGGGGGCAACGAUAGGUCCGUAUGCCCCGAAUCUCCCGGGCGACACGCGCGCUACAAAGGACGGUACAAUGGGCACCGACACCGAGAGGUGGAGGCAAUCCCGAAACCCGUUCAUAGUCCGGAUUGAGGGCUGCAACCCGCCCUCAUGAAGCUGGAAUCCGUAGUAAUCGCGGAUCAACAUUCCGCGGUGAAUAUGCCCCUGCUCCUUGCACACACCGCCCGUCAAACCAUCUGAGUUGGGUUUCGGUGAGGACAUCGACCAUGUGCGGUGUCGA
rnacentral:rRNA from 1 species